rnacentral:rRNA from 1 species
AUUGAACGCUGGCGGCAGGCCUAACACACGCAAGUCGAGCGGAUGAAGGGAGCUUGCUCCUGGAUUCAGCGGCGGACGGGUGAGUAAUGCCUAGGAAUCUGCCUGGUAGUGGGGGAUAACGUCCGGAAACGGGCGCUAAUACCGCAUACGUCCUGAGGGAGAAAGUGGGGGAUCUUCGGACCUCACGCUAUCAGAUGAGCCUAGGUCGGAUUAGCUAGUUGGUGGGGUAAAGGCCUACCAAGGCGACGAUCCGUAACUGGUCUGAGAGGAUGAUCAGUCACACUGGAACUGAGACACGGUCCAGACUCCUACGGGAGGCAGCAGUGGGGAAUAUUGGACAAUGGGCGAAAGCCUGAUCCAGCCAUGCCGCGUGUGUGAAGAAGGUCCUCGGAUUGUAAAGCACUUUAAGUUGGGAGGAAGGGCAGUAAGUUAAUACCUUGCUGUUUUGACGUUACCAACAGAAUAAGCACCGGCUAACUUCGUG